rnacentral:rRNA from 1 species
ACAUACGACCACAGGGUGAGGAGAACAGGGCUUCCCGUCCGCUCAGCCGUACUUAAGCCACACGCCGGUAGGUUAGUAGUAUGGUGGGUGACCACAUGCGAAUCCCUACUGUUGUAUGUU